GCUGUGUCCUGUGGAUUGCUGGGUGAGCCCUGGUCCUUGGAAAGAGGCUGCCAACUGAUCCCUCUCGUAUCUGCAGUAACCCGAAUGUAGUCUAGUAAGGUUUGCUCAAGUGAGAUGGAAAACGAAGAGGCAGUCUCCAAAACGGGCUCGUGUAUUGGAGACUUAUCCACCACAUGGUGAUGCCUUCCCUGACCUCCUUGAUUGCAGUGUGGGAUGUGCCCUGAUCCUUGGAAACGGUGGAGUUUCAGUGACCCAAACGCAGACUGCUCUGCAUUGACCAAGCGUGAUACCAAGAGAAGAGCUAGGCACCAGAACAGGCUGCUGGAUAGGAGACUCUGCCAUCAGAUGGCGUUGCCUGUUCUUCUUCUCUCCCCAGUUUGCAGAGUUGGAUGUGACCUCAGCAUGGAUAAGGGGAUGGAAAUGUACACCUGGUUGGAUCUACGAUGACCCAAAUGCAAUCUAGUAAGGUUUGGCCAAGUGUGGUGGGAAAGGAAGCGGUAGGCUCCUAAGCAGACUUCUGG
ensembl:lncRNA